rnacentral:rRNA from 1 species
GAUGAACGCUGGCGGCGUGCUUAACACAUGCGAGUCGAACGGGAUCCAAGGAGCGUUUUUCGUUUUUUGGUGCGAGUGGCGAACGGGUGAGUAACACGUGAGUAACCUGUCCUUUUCUUUGGGAUAAGCUCCUGAAAGGGUGUUUAAUACCUUAUGUUCUGUCUGCCUCGCAUGGGGUGGGUGGGUAAGAUUUUUUCGGUGAAGGGUGGGCUCGCGGUCUAUCAGCUUGUUGGUGGGGUGAUGGCUUACCAAGGCUUUGACGGGUAGCCGGCCUGAGAGGGCGUUCGGUCACAUGCGGCCUCAGAUCGGCCCCAGACCCCUCCGGACGGCAGCGGUGGGGAUAUUGCACAAUGGGCGCAAGACUGAUGCAGCGACGCCGCGUGGGGGAUGAAGGCCUUCGGGUUGUAAACUUCUUUUGCUCUGAACAAGGCGCAUCUUUGGGGUGUGUUGAGUGUAGGGGUUGAUUAGCGCCGGCUAACUACGUG